rnacentral:lncRNA from 1 species
UAGAUCACAAAUGUACAGUAUAUAAUUUUUAGACACAAUUCCGACAUUACUUUCUCAUAAUAGAUGAAUCUCACAAUGGACCUAUUAAAUGUGGGACCUUUUCAAAAGGUAUGUGUAUGAAGUUAUGUAUUUAAUAUUGCUACUCCACUAGUCAAGAAAAAUAAAAACAAUAAUAUAAAAAUUAUUAAAGACCAAAAAACUCAUAAAUUAACACAACUAAAUAUGUUUUGCCCUUUUUUCUACUAAAAACCCAAGUCACCAACCCACGCCGAGUAUAGCACAAAACCUUAAGGCCAUAUUUGUUUUAAAGAUAAGAAUGUUUGGAUUGGAAUACAAAUUUUGUAGGACCAUUAAUAUGGUAUUUAUUGACUCCUGAGGUUGGAUAUGUAAUUUGACAUAUUUGUAAUAACAUUCUCCCCUAUUAUUACAAUUUUAAGGGGUAUGGAUUAACUCUAAAAGUACUAAAAUAUCCAUAAGUAAAUACAAAAAUAGAAUAUUAUUAAAUUAAAACACUAUUAUAUAAUAUUUAUAAAUAUAAAGUCUUUUAUAUCCCAUAUGUUACUUAUUUGGUGCCUAAUUUUGCUUGUUAAUGAAAAUUCUUGUUCGACUAGUAUGUUUAUAUUUUAUAAUUACUCUCUAUAGUGGCAUAUAAAUAUGUUUAUUUUGUAACUUACGAUAAUUGUGAGUGAUAUAAUAUUUUUAAUUGGAUGUUAUUGUUGGUAAAAAGUGUGUUGAUUUUCUUUAAACAAUCAGAAAAAUUCAAAUAAGAAUUGUAGAAUUCUUUAAACACAGAAAAAAGAAGAAGAAAAGGAACAUAACAUGAAAUAAUGCAACUUACAGAAUUAAUUAAGGAACAUAAUUUAAUAUGGCCUGAGGCCUGAAUUAGAUUCAGGUCCUUAAGUCGUUGACGACCCGCACUGGUACUAACAGAUAUGCCGUACGACUCCAGGAUACAACGCUUCGAUUUUGGAUAGUAGUACUCCAAAUCAAAAGAUCACGACGGACCUUUAAGUGUUCUCUCUCUCUCUUAAAAAAUGUCUACUAAUGCAGAAAUGUUAUGCACUAACAAUUUCAAUCUCUAUUUUUUAAUUGAUCUUUAAAUGAUGAAUGAUCUGGGUUUAAUAGACGUAUCUGCAACCUUUUAGAAAAGGUUAUGGUGCUUUUGGAUGAUCACACCUCUUAAAAGACGGCAUAAGCACACCAUUCGGCACGUAAAGCACCCAUUUGGCAUAUUCUUAAAUAUUGUAACUCAUUUGCUAAGAAAGAAAAUUACAAUUUCUCAUUCAAAUUGACCCAAAUGAUAAACAAUCCCCCAAAUGAAUGGAAAUUGAUUUUGACCACAGAUUGCGAUGAAAUGCACCUCCUUAAGAGAGAGAGAAAUAGAGAAAUUACCGCAUCAUGUGAGAGGUAGCUUUCGGUCUUGAACCUUUCCUAGGGACAUACUAGUCGGAUUUACCGCAAACGUGGAACAUGCGCCCUUGAACUGUCCAGUUUUGAGUGUAAACCAAGACAACAAUAUUGCACACAAUAAAACCCUCCGAACACGUUUGGUUCUUCAUGGUUGGUUCAUUUGGCCCUGAACAACCACCUGGUUUUCAUGAGUGCUCUAGAAAUUCAGCCCAAAAUUCUCAUAGGAACGGCCCCAAUCCCACACGUCACAUGGUGACAUCUUUUUAAAGUACUCUUGGCUACCCACUUAAAUAUUUUAAGAUACAAGUGCAUUAAAAGUCUGCUUAGCCUAAAUUGCUCAUACAGACAGCACGUUGUUCUACCUUCAUAAGAAUAGUUAGGUCAAAAGAUUUUACCUUUUUUUUCUACCACAUUGCUUAUCCACUGAUUACACAACACAACAUGGUUUAGUUGUCCUUUUUGGAACCUAGAUCUUGAAAUCCUCCGUCAACUAUGUUUAGGGUUCCACUAUGGACACUCUUGACUAAAGGCUUUAUCCAUUCCCUUCGAAAAUUUAUAAACUUGCUCUCUGAUAACCUUUUGUAAACGGAUCCGCAAUGUUACCUUAGAUUUUACAUAUCCUAUAUAAAUAACACCAUUAGAGAGAAGUUGUUUAAUGGUUUGUGUCCUACGACGAAUAUGACUAGACUUACCAUUUAUACAACUUAACUUUGUGCCCUUGUAAGUGCUAUUGACUAUCACAAUGUAAUACACACAGCAGGCACAGGUUUUGACCAAUUUGAAAUAUUCCUCUAAAAAUUAUCUAAUCUAUUCAGCCUCUUCUCCGGCUUUGUCUAGAGUAAAUAACUCUGCUUCAUAGUGGUCUGGCAAAUGCAUGUUGUUUGAGAGGAUUUCCAGGAUACAUGCAAAGCACCUCCAAUAGUGAAGACAUAACACUUUGGUUUAGAGUCUUUAGAUCGAUAUCCAAUUUGGCAUCACAAUAUCCCUCAGGUACUUAGGAUAUCCAGAAUAAAAUAUUCAUCGUUUUGUGUAUAUCUCAGAACCUUAACACUCAAUUAUUGUCUUCUCAAUGAUUAGCUCCAGGAUUACU